rnacentral:rRNA from 1 species
AGGCCUAACACAUGCAAGUCGAGCGGAAACGAAGAGGUGCUUGCACCUCUGGCGUCGAGCGGCGGACGGGUGAGUAAUGCUUGGGAAUAUGCCUUAUGGUGGGGGACAACAGUUGGAAACGACUGCUAAUACCGCAUGAUGUCUACGGACCAAAGUGGGGGACCUUCGGGCCUCACGCCAUAAGAUUAGCCCAAGUGGGAUUAGCUAGUUGGUGAGGUAAUGGCUCACCAAGGCGACGAUCCCUAGCUGGUUUGAGAGGAUGAUCAGCCACACUGGGACUGAGACACGGCCCAGACUCCUACGGGAGGCAGCAGUGGGGAAUAUUGCACAAUGGGCGCAAGCCUGAUGCAGCCAUGCCGCGUGUGUGAAGAAGGCCUUCGGGUUGUAAAGCACUUUCAGUAAGGAGGAAAGGUUAAGUGUUAAUAGCACUUAGCUGUGACGUUACUUACAGAAGAAGCACCGGCUAACUCCGUGCCAGCAGCCGCGGUAAUACGGAGGGUGCGAGCGUUAAUCGGAAUUACUGGGCGUAAAGCGUACGCAGGCGGUUUGUUAAGCGAGAUGUGAAAGCCCCGGGCUCAACCUGGGAACUGCAUUUCGAACUGGCAAACUAGAUGUGAUAGAGGUGGUAGAAUUUCAGUGUAGCGGUGAAAUGCGUAGAGAUCUGAAGGAAU